AUACUCUUUGAUAUAAACGUCUAGUCUCUCUCUCCAUUCUCUAGUUCAUUUUUGGCGUUUCAAGCAAGGCAAGGAAGAAGGAAGAAGAAACCGUGAGCAUCCCUCCAUCAUCCCCCUUGAAGCUGUGAGUUUUGAAGCUUGCUUUCAAGAUUCAAGAGUUCACACGUUCAAGUGUACCCUCAAUCCCCGGAAUAGAACGAUCCCUAUUUACUAUAUACUAACGAUGACAUCUUAUACGGUUAAAUUAUAUGCUUACUUUUAGCGUAUCACUCUCUCUCUCUCUCUCUCUUUUCUUUUCUUUCAAAUUGAGAGAGAUGGACUUAUGAUUUAAUUAGAGUCAAGAAGACUGAGGCUGGAUCUGAUUGAGGAGAUACAGAUGACGAGUCAGUCGUCCGUCAUGGCGUCACCGGAGAGCAAAGGCGUCCACGCCUCGACAGUCAAGGAGAGAGGGCUGAGAGGGAGAGAGCUUGUGCGACCUUGUUGGAGAGAGAGGGAGAGAGAGAGAGAGACGGUGACUGCAGUAGUCUUUAGAUUCUGAUGCUUUUGAGUUUUGACGACGAAAAAAAAAAAAGAAGAAGAAAGCUCCUAAUCGCCGACCAACCAGCGCCCAGUCACACCCGCCCAGGCAGUCUAGGAACCGCCUAGACCGAUUAGGCGGCCGAUUUUCAGCCCAACGCCUAACUCGAUCGACUAAGCUAAAAUCCGAACGGCGGAGAGGCGCCUAGCGCGCCUAGGCUGAUUUAGAACCUUGGAUGAAACAUUCAAAGAGAUGAAUUCUGGAUAUACUCAGUUCAAAGUCUAUGAUUCAGCUUAUUGGAUCUUGCAAGAAGAACUAGGGUUUAGGGAGGAACCGUUUUUAAUCACUCUCGUUGUCCCCAAGCUUGAAUAUCAUUUCUUAAUGUUCACGAGACUACUUAUUCUAUAAAAUGUUUUGGGGGGUGAAAUUUGCACACCCCAUUUUGCAAAUCACACACCCUUAUAUUAUUUUAAUAAUAUUUCAUCCCAACCUCUUUUGGUACUUCCUAAAAUGCCCUUAGUUUUGGUCUUUUUCUUCUCUCUCUCUCUCCCCUCCAAACCACGACAGAACCCUUCUCCGGCCUAAACUCAAACUAAAGCUCCUCUCUCUCUCUCUCUCUCUCUCUCUCUCUCUCUCUCCGGCACGGCGCACGGACGCAUUGGUAAGUCUGGGUUUCUGAGUUUCUGUUUUCAUUCAAGCACUACCAGAAAACUUGAUCUUCGUGCUUCACCCCGAGCCAUGGAGAAGCUCCAGCGACAACACAAUCAGCCAUGUUGACAGGACAAAGAUCUUAGAAGCCUUCAAAACAAGUCGGGACAUAAAUACUGUAUUCUUUUCAAAGGAUCUCCUUGUGUUUAUACAUUAUGUCAGUGCAGUUACUGUUCAGCAAGCAAAACGUAAUGUAUCUCAGCGAAAGCUUGACUGCAUAGUGGAGUUUGACAGAAUAAGAUCCUUUUCAUUCAACUAUGUUUUAAUUUUGUCAGUGAGAUCAGUGGCCACUCUUGCGGAAGCUGUUACCGGGUUUGAAGAGAUGGUUGCUGGGACUCAGCGAAAGUAUUACAUGCUAGGUGGUAAAGGUGGAGUUGGAAAGACGAGCUGUGCAACUUCACUUGCUAUAAAGUUUGCUAACAAUGGGCAUCCCACUCUUGUGGUUUCCACUGAUCCAGCACAUUCCUUGGCUGCUGAAGAUUAGGAUGAAGGUGGUGCUGAUGCAUGGAGUGAUGUAGAUAUUGAUAAGAUUUAGUGUUUGCAGAUCAACUUUUUUUCAGUGUUAUAUGUUAGCUUUACCGAUUUGGGGGUUAUUGACACCACCCUAAGUGAAACUUGGAUUGGCAGCUGGUACUUUAUGGUUUUGUGUUUUGCGUUUCCAGAUGGGCAAUUUGUCAUGUUC